ACUCGCUGGGAGGCAGCUGCGAUUAGCGCCCUAAUCCCCAGCGCAGACCGCGCAGAGACCGGAGCGGGAGCGGGGCCGCGGCGGGAGCCCCCCACCGUCCCGGGCAGUCCAGACGGCCGGGGCAGCGUGGGAACUGGGACCUCGGGGACCCAGCGCGGCGGCUGUCAGCUCUGGGGAACCAGCUGAUGUAUGGGCCAGGUGAUGUAUGGACCCCUGAUAUAUGGAGCAGCUGAUGUAUGGACCCCUGGUAUAUAGACCACUGAUGUGUGAACCUCCUGAUGAGUGACCCACCAAUAUAUGGACCAGUUGAUGUAUGGACCCACUGAUGUAUGGACCAGCUGAUGUAUGCACCCACUCAGGGAUGGAAGAAAAGGGGAGACUGUGGUUCACCUUCAGUGAUAUGUAAUUGGGAAGACCAAACUUGCACCUCUGAACAAGGAGAGACCAAGACGUGAGAAAGGAGGACUCAGGAAGGAUUUGAAUGCUGCGUCGGAUGUCCCUAGACUGGAGAACAGGCACGGCCUACUUGGCAAGAAAGCAGCUUCAGCAAAGCCACAGAAAUGAGGCUAAGCCAAGAGCAGGGAGGACGGCCAGCCAUUUGGGGCGGAGAGGACACAUAUGGGAGUAGCUGGAAAUAAAUCUGACUUAUAGAUACUUAGUAAGUGGCUGUAUAAUUCUUUUUAAAGAACACUGCUCACAGACAGUGGCCUGGUGGAGAGCGUGACUUGAAUCAAUAAUUUCCAACCACGUUGAUGUUCCGAGACAUUGUAAUUGUUGGUUUGAUUUCACAACGUUCCACUUUCCCCCUCCGUAUCUCUCCAAAGAGCUCAUCAGAAUGGCAUCUGAGUCCUGAACACAUCAAGUUUUCCCUUUGUGGGGCUUUGCAAAGGCUUCUUGAGAAUUUCCAACUCUAAGAUAAAAUAAUACUUGGGCUGAAAAUCUAAGCACCAUGUUUCCCUGUGGGCACGCACCACCUGAGUUCCCGUUCAGACACACUCCACAGCCAUGUCCAUUUGGAGAGAUGGCAGAGGGGAAGCCUACCAAAGACUCUUAC
rnacentral:lncRNA from 1 species